AUUGAACGCUGGCGGCAGGCUUAACACAUGCAAGUCGAGCGGGGUGAUGGUGCUUGCACUAUCACUUAGCGGCGGGCGGGUGAGUAAUGCUUAGGAAUCUGCCUAUUAGUGGGGGGCAACAUCUCGAAAGGGAUGCUAAUACCGCAUACGUCCUACGGGAGAAAGCAGGGGAUCGCUUGUGACCUUGCGCUAAUAGAGGAGCCUAAGUCGGAUUAGCUAGUUGGUGGGGUAAAGGCCUACCAAGGCGACGAUCUGUAGCGGGUCUGAGAGGAUGAUCCGCCACACUGGGACUGAGACACGGCCCAGACUCCUACGGGAGGCAGCAGUGGGGAAUAUUGGACAAUGGGGGGAACCCUGAUCCAGCCAUGCCGCGUGUGUGAAGAAGGCCUUAUGGUUGUAAAGCACUUUAAGCGAGGAGGAGGCUCUUUUGGUUAAUACCCAGAAUGAGUGGACGUUACUCGCAGAAUAAGCACCGGCUAACUCUGUGCCAGCCGCCGCAGUAA
rnacentral:rRNA from 1 species